GAUGAAGAACGCAGCGAACGUGCGAAACGUAAUGUGAAUUGCAGAAUUCAGUGAAUCAUCGAAUCUUUGAACGCACAUUGCGCCCGCCAGUAUUCUGGCGGGCAUGCCUGUUCGAGCGUCAUUUCAACCAUCAAGCCCCCGGCUUGUGUUGGGGACCUGCGGCUGCCGCAGGCCCUGAAAAGCAGUGGCGGGCUCGCUGUCACACCGAGCGUAGUAGCAUACAUCUCGCUCUGGGCGUGCUGCGGGUUCCGGCCGUUAAACCACCUUCAUAACCCAAGGUUGACCUCGGAUCAGGUAGGAAGACCCGCUGAACUUAAGCAUAUCAAUAAGCGGAGGA
rnacentral:misc_RNA from 1 species